AAAUAUGGAGUAGCCCAAUACUGAUCACGGAAAAGGUUCAAAGAAUGGCGAGGAAAGGAGGAGCAGUUAUCCUUUUGGAUAAGGGCAUCUACUAUUCGAAUUGUGAAGUUAUUGUAAUUAAUAGACAGAACGUAAUAUUUAGCUGAAUCCAAGUAUACAACUGUAAGGUUGUUUUCACAAACAAGUUGAAGGUUUUGGUUGCCGCAGGUUGUCGGAUCAGUGUUAAGGCGAAAAGGGUAGCUUAUGUUAUGGAUAUCGCCGCAAGAACUGGUGCACUGAUCAUUAUUGCUUUUGCUUUUUCUAGCACAGCAACCAUGGAGAUGGAGUAUUAUUAAAAUUAUAACUAGAAAAAGAAGGUUUGAGUAUCUGCUGAUCAUUCUGUGAACUGAUGAGACAGAGAGAAUUGAUCAUUAAAUUUGUAAUGCAGGAUUACUUUGGUUGUCACUGGAAACUUCACAGCGACUUCUCUCAGCUUUCAAUUAAGACGGCAAAGGUGGGUUGACAUCAAUGCCAAGUCUUUCAAUUAAGAUUGCACACCACAAGUCUUCCUUUUAAGUCAAUGCCCCAUAGAUAAAGUCUCAGAAUUAGGUGGGUUAACACAAAAACAACAAGUCUAUUGCGAAGUCUACUUCAAGGAAGAUGCGAAAAAGCUAAAGGAAAAGGGUCAUUAAGGGAAACAUAUUGGCCCAUUGUCAUACUUCUUAUUGGACGACUAGUCUCCAUUCUCCUAUUAGUGCAGACCUCGCAGCACACUUUCGAGCAGGCUCCGUAGAGAAGCACUAGCUAGUAUCGGCCUAUAAUGGAGUAUCAACCGCUGCACAUAGAGCAAAAAGCCACAUGAGUCAUUUUUAGACAAUGACGGCCAUUGUUUCUGCCAAGUCUAUGCAUUUUCUUCAGCACGGAUACUCAUGUAUCAGAAUGCAUUGCUAAAAUUGCAGACAAUGUAGGGUAGUUGCAUGUGGAAUCACUGACAGAAUUUUUAGUAAAUGUAUUCCAAGAACAUGCUGAUAUUUUAUCAGCACGGCCUGCGUUGUCGACUUUGUCAGUUCUGAGGUGGUUAAAUUUUUGGAGAGUGAUACUUUCAGCAAGCUGAGGGGACGAAGUAUUCUGCUAGUGAACAAAAGCUUCGGGUUGCAUUUUAGAAGAAAUUUCGGUGCAGGAACCCUCAUAGCCUGAUAAAAACUGAGAUAAAUAGAAAACAAUACAGAAGAAAAUUUAGUUAGUUAUACGGCAAAUUAGCAUCAAAACAUGCAGUUUCAGAUUUUCUAGAAGAACCUCGGUUUUUUGCAACUUUUCAAAUACAUGUUCAUGCAAAACGAAAGAAUGAUCCUGAGGGAAAAAAAAUACAAAUCUAUUUUGCAAACUGCAAAUUAUUUCCCUGAUUAAUCCACAUGAAGCUUUAUAGGUUUUGCAGGUGCUUCUGAUUUUUUUUUUUUUUUUUUUAAAAAAAAAAANNNNNNNNNNNNNNNNNNNNNNNNNNNNGAAUUAAGAAGUAGCAAACCUAAAGGUCAAGACAGUGACUGAAAAUAUAACUAAUAUUAUAGGACAUAGCAUACAUCCUAAAGUUGAGAAACUAGGGCCCCUUCUAUACGGUUUUUAUUUCUCAAAUAAGAUCAAUUGUUAAACUCCAUUUAUUUUUCUUAUUUCCAAGAUACAAGCCUUAUAGUACAGGAAAUAGAAGCCAAAAACAAAAAUUACAGGAUACAACUACUUAGAACUCAAUUGAGUGCUACAAAGCAAACCACAUCAUGAGAUAUUGAAUUCACCCAUUUUUGGCUCCAUCAACAACUGUGGCAACAAUAACCAAAUAACACCUCUGGAGUCUGGACCACUGCAAUCAGCCAUAAGAACCUGAUAAUCAAAUAUGUAAGGAAACAUCUUGAGACUAGAUCACAGAGGAACAUUCUUCCAACAUAUGAAUCAUGAAGACUUUUUUACCAUGUUGGACACAUUCCAGACACUAAAACUCUUGGAAACAUCUUAACACUUCAAAAAAGUUUCACUAUUAUAUUUCUUUAAUUUUGGCAANNNNNNNNNNNNNNNNNNNNNNNNNNNAAAAUUUUAAGAUGGAUUUCAAUUACUACUUCACAAAACCCAACUUUUAUUUUUCUGAUCAUGCAAUCAAUUAAACUAACACAUUACCGACAACCCAAUACAAGAUUUUAAAUUCACAAAAGCAAAAUGCAGUACAUGGAUUUGAGACUAGAUUAUUGAAAUUAAUGUCGUGGUGUAAUAAUUAUAGCAAUAAAUUUAUUCCAGUAUUAUAAAUACAAAAUAUAUAUUUUUAGUAGAAUAUUUCACCAGCCUUUUGUGUUUUGCUGUUUAAAAAAAAGAGAGUCAUAUUUCACGUUAUAUUUUAUCUUGUUUUUCCUGUUCAAGCUACUUAGCCUUUAAUAUUUAUUUUGCCCCUAAGGAGGCCGCAUCCCCUACUUUGACCACAAAUUCAUGCUGCAAUUGAAGUUCUUUAAGCUUCUAAAUCACUAUAUCACUUAUAACACUAAUCCGAAACCUGACACACCUGUUGAACUUCACUCACUAAUGACCAAGAAAAUGUAUGAACAGCUUUUUAUUGAAUCUUAGGAGCAUUAAUUGGCAAAACUCUCAAACUUGAUGUUGAGAAAGACUUUUUUCCCCCCAAGGAAAGAUGUUGAGAAAGAUGGACAAAGGAACAACCCUGUAAACAAGUGUUUCAGGGUCCCUAUCAGAACCUGACACACUUGUUGAACUUCACUCACUAAUGACCAAGAAAAUGUAUGAACGGCUUUUUAUUGAAUCUUAAGAGCAUUAAUUGGCAAAAUUCUCAAACUUGAUGUUGAGAAAGACUUUUUUUCCCCCAAGGAAAGAUGUUGAGAAAGAUGGACAGAGGAAUANNNNNNNNNNNNNNNNNNNNNNNNNNNNNNNNNNNNNNNNNNNNNNNNNNNNNNNNNNNNNNNNNNNNNNNNNNNNNNNNNNNNNNNNNNNNNNNNNNNNNNNNNNNNNNNNNNNNNNNNNNNNNNNNNNNNNNNNNNNNNNNNNNNNNNNNNNNNNNNNNNNNNNNNNNNNNNNNNNNNNNNNNNNNNNNNNNNNNNNNNNNNNNNNNNNNNNNNNNNNNNNNNNNNNNNNNNNNNNNNNNNNNNNNNNNNNGCAUACUUACAAACUCUGAAGCAAAAAUAUACAAUUACAUUUCAUAUUUAUGUUACCAUCAUCAAUUGAAGAACCAUGUUGGUUAGAGCUAUUUAAUUCUUGCAGUUCUAAACUCUAAAGGAAUGUUAAAUUCACAAUAAAUUUAUUAACUCUAAGACCUCCCAUGAGCAUUCUGAUGGAAGAAAAAUAUUUUGUUCCCUGAAAAAUAACGCAGUUACCAUACUAACCUCAUCGAGUUCCGAAAUGCAAGUGUAUCAAGGAAUCCUCAAACGUUAAUACUCACCAACAGAGUAGCCAAAAUAAUUAACACAAGGAAUCAGAACACUAAAGUUAACGUACCAAUAUUAUUACCAAACUGUUGAUAAAAACAACAAUACCUCAACUAACACUGAUAACGAAUUAAAAUUAACAAAAGUUAAAAUUAAUACCUCAACACCCACUAUAAAGAAGUGCAUCAAGAUACCAACAAUUGGUGGUUCAGCCACAUUGGAGAAGACAUGAUCACAAAUUGUUAGAGCUUGUUACAUACGACACUACAACAGUGAUGUCAUCAAGUUUACCACCAAAGUAGCUUAACCCAGCAAGUUGAGCAGCAGUAGAAAAAAGUGUCUGUCGGUUCUCAUCCAGUGCUCGUUGACUUGUCAUAGCUGCAAUUUUCUGAGCUGUUAUUUGAGGCCCUAAGCCAGCUCUUAGGGCAUCAACAACAGCAGUGGUAACCUCGUUGUUAUACAAGUUCUCGAAUAAUCCAUCUGUUCCGGCAACAAUUACGUCACCCGGAGAAACAGGAAAUAAGAAUACCUGGCCAGAGCUUGGUAGAUCACCCUCAUUGCCACUCUCUAGUUGGUAUGGAAAAUUAAAGCAAUGCUGCUGUGCUGGGGAUUGGAACACUGUGCAUCCAUCUCUAACUACCAUGAAUCUAGAUUAAUGGCACGUACUUCCUCAUUUAUAAGAGCAACUAUGCAGGCCGUUGAUGAACCCUUUGCUUUUUUUUUGGAGUGUGCCUUCUCUAGCCCCCUAGCAGCAUCAAUUGAACCCACAGGCUCUUCCUGAAUUGCACUUACAGAAUUCAACAUAGGCUUCCGAGCAUAUAAUCCGGCGUUAAUUCCCACAUCCGCCCACCCUCCUACUCCAUCUGCUACACCAAUGACUUGCUCAUUGGCACAUAUAAAGUGAGCAUCUUCCCCACCUGUUUCUUCCUUAUCAGGAUGUGGCAAGUAGCAAGAUCCUGAGAGCAGCUUCAGGGUUUGGCCAUAUACCAAAGUGGAGUUUGACAGCUGCUCCUCCCGAGAAUUCCCAUCAAACAAUACAUCACGAGCAGCUCCAGCAGAGGAUUGAACAGAGUGAGCAUCUUCCCCACCUGUUUUUUCCUCAUCAGUACAGAGCAAAUUCAGGGUUUGGCCAGACUCCACAGUUGAGCUUGCCAGCUGUUCCUCACGAGAAUUCCCAUCAAACGACACAUUAUGAGCAGCUCCAGCAGAGAAUUUAACAGAAGACAAGUUGUGGAAGUUCUUCAACGAUGGCCCUGGAACAAAACUAUUCAAAUUACUGCUCCUUGUAAUUGAACCAAACCAAGAGUAACUGCCAACCAAAGGACUAUUUGGCAACUCCCCAUUUAUCAUUCUCACUCUUGCCUUAAAGCAACUGACCCGACCUCUAUCUGCGAAAAAAACACCUCUAGGUUCCGAAAAGUACAUUUCUCACUCUUGCCUUAAACCAACUGACCCGACCUCUAUCCGCGAAAAAAAACACCUCUAGGUUCCGAAAAGUACAAUCCUUUUGCACAAGUGGUAAUCAUAUCAUCAAUAAAGGACAAUCGUUUUGCACUGGUAAUCAUAUUAUCAAUAAAAGUAUCACCAAACACAGCUUUAGGCAGCUAUAGAAUAUCCACCAAAGAGAACGCCUCACUGAGAAUUAAGUGGGAUUAGAUAAUGAAAAGGCUGAAUUUCUAACAAUUACUGAUGUCCUAAAUCCUAAUUCAGCUUCACGCAGAAACCCAGAUGGCACCUUAACCCCUUCAACCAAAAACCAGAGCCUCAUUAAGCACACCUGAACCUUAGUGUUUUUGGGAUCUCGAGAUUUAGGGAGAGAAAUAUCGAGGGUUAUUCAUUUAUAUCUUCGAACCUUAUUGUUUUUGACGGGCUUCGAACCGUACACACACACACCCACAUAGACAUGUAUGAUGUAUGUAUUAAUAUUGUUGAUAAUCCUCAUAACUGCUAAUUAGGAUUAUAAUUUUUAAUUAAAAUAGGAAAGAAAAAUUUAUCCAAUAAUAUCAUUUCUAUUAAUUCCUAAUUAAAAUAGGAAAAAAAAAAACAAUUUGGAUUUUGAUUUUUGGUUUAAUUUUUUGAUUUGCUAUUAAGUCUAUUUCUUCUAAUUUCUUCUCUUUCAAUUAAUUUUAUUCAAUGAAAAAAAUUAAUCUACUUCUCAAAAAAAAAAAAAUCUAAUUCAUGAUAAUAACUUUCUUUUCCCCUUCAAUGCUUCUCUUUAGAUUUUUUUUUUUAUACAACUUUGAGAUUGAAAGGAAUUCUGUGUUAGUUAAUUGUUAUUCCCAUUAAUUUAGUAAAAUAUUUUAUGAUUAUUAGUUAUUAUAUAUUAAUUGUUAUUCUCAUUAAUUUAAUUAAAUAUUUUACGAUUAUUAGUCAACAAUUUUGUUUCUUUUCAUUGGCAAAAAUAUUUUCUUCUUUCUUUUUCUAUUUUGUGUAAAAAUAUUUUAAUAAAAUCAUUUAAAAAGACCAAGAAAUUAUUGCUGAACAAAUUGACAGUCACUUCCAUAUUUAAAUAUUAAUUUAAAUAGUAAUAAGUCAAUUUAAAUAGUAAUUGUUGUCUAAUUAACAUUAAAAAUUAUAUUUUGAACAAAAUUAAUGAAACAAGAAAAGAUCACGCCCUGAAACUUUAUUUUUUUGUCUGAGAUAACAAAGAAAAAUCAUGAAUUCCUGAAACUUUUCACUCAUUACCAGUAAUUGUGAAAAAACAUCAUUUGUUUUUAAGGUCAAAACCAAACACUCUAGUUCUACACAAAAAUGCCAGUAAAAUUUGGGCCAAACCAACAAAAAAUGGUCUGGGGGAUUGUGAGAUUGUGUUACAGACAGAGUAUUCCAUGAAGUGGAAUUAAGCCGAGCACAUUAAGUAAACUAGCGUCAGCUUUCAGAUUGUCCAAAAUACCUGCCAGAUAUUGUAGCAAGAAUGUUCAGCAUUAUAACCGCAUCAUCAAGUUCAGACUUCGCAGCUCGCAAGCUAGCACACUUUCGCAGCAGGCUCCGCAGAGCAGCACUAGUAUCAGCAUUUAAUGGGUUAUCAACUGCUGCACAUAAAGAAAAAAGCCACAUACAAGCAUUUUUCAUUAAAGAAGGAAAAGAAAAUUAUAAUUUUCAGUUCAUCCAUACUAUUCUUUUGUUUGUUUCUAUUCUCCAUCAUUGCACAAUGGAUCUUAUGAAAUGAAUGAUUUGUUCUUAAGACACCCUGAGGCUUUCUUUUUUAUUUUAUUUUUUAUCUUUUAAAGUAAUAGGGGAAAGGGAUUUGAAUUUGAAUUUUUGUGAUUUAUCUUUUUUUAUAUUUUUUAUCAUUGCACAAUUGUACUGUUGGUUGUUGGAUUUGAAUUUUUGUUUUUAUGAGCAAGAGCUAAUCAUUGAAAUUUCAUUUUAGGUGGAUGUCAAAUACAAGUUGCCUUUUAACAAAUAUUUAUUUAUAAUCUACAUAUUGAGAAUGUUAAUUUUAAUUGUAUGCGUAGAUAAUUAAGUUAAUAUUUAAUUAGAUUUCCCAAAUCGAACAUAAACCAAACAAUAAUAAUAAUAAAUGGACUAUUGGUAAGUUAUGAUUCUACUCUCAGAGUAUUUAUUAUUCGUAAUGAUGCGAGAACUAACCCAACAAGUCUUUUUGAUCGGAAAUUGCAAGUUAUUGGGAAACUUUGAAAUUUUUUUUUGGUAUUUAUUGAAAACUUGAAUUAAAAAAUAAAUUUGAUUAAAUAUUAAGUGAAAAUCACUUUUUAUUAUUUUCAAGUAGAAUAACUGAUUUUUAUAUUUAACCAAUUAAAUAACGACAACAAAAAUAUUUUCAUCACAAUACAUCAUUCUUUAACAAUUAAUAUUCUGUCUAUAAUUGAAAAUACGACAUUUGAUGUACGAGAAAAAUAAUUUUAAAAAAUAAUUUUAAAAAUAAUACGACAUUAAGUAACCUAAAGACUAACGGCUUUAGGUUAGUUUUUUAAUAUAUGAGUGGACAAUUAUAAAUGAAUAAAAGGAGUGGCCGAUUGACCAUACUCAGCUAUAAAAAGAGACCUUCGAGCUUCUUAAUGGACAUUCUUGAAAUAGUAACAUUAAAUGGCUGAAGAAGUGAUCCUUUUGGAUUUAUUUGCCAGUUCUUCUGGAAUGAGAGUGAGAAUAGCUUUGGCUGAGAAAGGGAUCAGAAAACAUGUUGAAUACAAGCAAGAAAACAUGUUGAAUAGGAGCCCUUUGAUUCUCCAAAUGAACCCUAUUCAUAAAAUGACCCCUGUCCUUAUUCACAAUGGAAAACCUAUCUGCGAAUCUCUCAUCAUCCUCCAAUACAUUGAUGACACAUGGAAUCAACACCCCCCUCCUUUGUUGCCAUCCGAUCCUUACCGUUGAUCGCAAGCAAGGGUUUGGGCUGAUUUUCUAGACAAAUAGGUAUAUUAAGAGCGUAAAUUUAUUAAUAAAGAGUGUAUCAUAUCAGUGUCUCGUAUGUACUCUCUUUUACAAAAAAAAAAAUCACAGUAGUACGAUAAUAAAAGUUCUCAAAGUUAUGCAUGUGAAAAUAUGAUGCUAAUGACCAAAGGACAAGUCCAAGAGGCAGCUAAGAAGGAGAUGAUAGACUGCUUUAAAAUUUCGGAAGGAGAGCUUGGGGAAAAGUUUUACUUUGGAGGUGAAAGCUUUGGAUUUAUGGAUAUAGCACUAAUUUCCUAUUCCUCCUGGUUUUUUACCUAUGCAACCUGUGGAGAAUUCAACAUGGAAGUUCGAGUCCCAAAGCUUAUGAAAUGGGUUCAAAGAUGCAAAGAGAGAGAUAAGAGUUUCAAAAUCCCUCACUGACCCACUCAAAGUUUAUGAAUAUGUCUUGCANNNNNNNNNNNNNNNNNNNNNNNNNNNNNNNNNNNNNNNNNNNNNNNNNNNNNNNNNNNNNNNNNNNNNNNNNNNNNNNNNNNNNNNNNNNNNNNNNNNNNNNNNNNNNNNNNNNNNNNNNNNNNNNNNNNNNNNNAAAAACUAAUUGUAAAAGCAAAAGCAACAUAACCAAAUGCACAGUAAUCCAUGGCCAAGUAGGCAUAUAAGUCUGUAAAACGCUACAAAUGAAAAAACUAAGAACUAGGAGAUAAAGGGGAAAAAAUGAAAGUUUUUUUUUUCAUUGUAAACUCAAUGUAAUAGAAGUGAAGCAUUUUGGUUACCAUUCUUAAUUUUGAAACUCACAUGAAGUUUUUACCUGAAAAAUUAAUUCAUAACAGUAUAGUUCUUAAGGAUAUUUGGCCUCCCAGACCUUCUGACUGUGCCAGAACUUGCUUUCAUGUUGAUUGAAGCUCCUUCAGACAACUUUUUGUUAGCUGCCGGGGUUAAAAUCUGAUCAGUAACUUCACCUUCAAGGGAAAAGUUCGAUGAAAGACAUUUUUCGGGCUUGUUUCUGAAAUUUCUGCACUGGACUGGAGAUUUGGAUUGGAGAUUCUCUUCCUGCUUGCUACUCAUAUUCUUUGAUCUGUACCUACUUCUUGUUACAACACCUGUACGUGAUGAAACACGAUCUCGUAUGACACCCGAUUCAUUAGAAGCACAAGCGUGCGUGGAUGAUUAGACCAAAGCCGAACUAAGAGCCCAAGAAAAUCCAAAAGAAAAUGAAGAUUUAUUUGAUUUAUACGAUGGGUCCUGAACGGGAACUGGUGGUGCAAAUAGCGAUUAAGGUAAAAGGGGUGAAAUUGAUAUAAGGUAAGUAAGAACUACGUGGGCUUUGAUUCUUCUAAACCCAAAGAGGAUACGUAGGGAACUUAAUUUUUUUUUAAACAAAAAAAAAAAAAGUUCAAGCCCAAUUUUUUUUUUAAAAUUAUGUUCAAACUUAAAAAAAAAAAAAUUCAGUUCAAAUUUUUUUUAAAAAAAAUCAUUAUGUUCAACACUCAACAAUUCAAUUCUUUAAAAAAAUAAAUUUAAUUGAAGUAUUUUUUAAUUUUUUAGGUGUAUUUUUUAAUUUUUUAUGUUCAAAUAAUUUUUUUUNNNNNNNNNNNNNNNNNNNNNNNNNNNNNNNNNNNNNNNNNNNNNNNNNNNNNNNNNNNNNNNNNNNNNNNNNNNNNNNNNNNNNNNNNNNNNGACCCGUGGGUUUUGUAAUCGGAUCGGAACCGAAACCGGAACCGGAACCGGACGGUUCGGAACCGGAAUCGAAACCGGACCAUUUCGGUUCGGUUCCGGUUCCAACUUUUCUGGAACCGGAACCGCCGGUUCCGGAACUGUGGCCAUGCUUACUGCUAUGGAUAUAAUUCAAAUGUGUAUAUUUGAAUUAGUUUGUCUCAAUUUAGCUUAUUUUAACUAUAGAGAUUCUUAUAGGGUGUGAUUUUAUUUUAUUUUGAUUAUUUCAUUUUUGUAAACUACUCUACUAUAAUUUUCAUAAUAAUAUUAAUAAGGUUCAAUUUCCCUUUUAAAUUUGGGGGCUAAAUCAUUAAAAAAAAAAAAACCCAAAUUAUGCGGGUAGUUUUAAUUAUACCCUAAAUUUAACUUUAUUCUCUUAAUACCAUGAAUUUUAACUUUAGUUAUAAUAGCACCCUAGUUUCAAAUUGUAUCCAAUAUUAAAAUAAAAAAUAAUAUUUUAUCCAUUAGAUUAGAUAUAAUUUAAUGAUAAAAAAAAUAUUAGUUUCAAAUUAUACCCAAUAUUAAAAUAAAAAAAUAAAAUGCUUUUUAUUUAUUCGUAUAAUAUUAACAACAAGUAAUGAUUUUCAAAAAAUAAAAUUAUGUCAUAAUGAAUAAAACCUAUUUUCAUAAGAGAUCUAACUUAAGUAUAAUUUCAAUAAAUCCUAACUAAAAUUUUAUGCUUAAAAAAUAGCAAAACAAAAACCGAAACUAAUAUUCUAUACUUAUAACUAACUAAAAUUUAUUAUUGUACUUGACUUUUUAUGAAUUUAAAAAAAAUUCAUAGCAAUAUUAGUUACUGUGUCGUAAAUUUUUUAUUAACAUGACCAUAAGUCCAACAAAAAUAAAUGAAAUUGAGUCCUAUUGUAACUAUAAUUGAAGUUCAAGGUACUAAGAGAAAAAAAGUUGAAUUUAGAGUACAAUUACAACUGCCCACAAAAUUUAUGAUGUUUUUAAUGAUUUAGCCAAAUUUGGGUGCUAUAUAUGGUUUAUCCAAAAAUUAAUUUUUAUGUAAUCAUUAUACUAAUUUUACAUCAAAUGAGCAAAAAGGUCAAGUUUUAACCCAAAAAAAAAAAAAAGUAAAAUAAUAAUUUUGAAAAGGUACAAACUAUUAUUUUAUUAAAAGUAAAUAAUAAAAAUAAUUAUUUCAUUCUUUUUAGCUACAAAUUUGGUCUUUGUAGUUGUUUGUUGUAAAUUUGGGACAAUAAUUAUAUAAAAAAUUAAUUUAUUUAUAAGUAAUUUGAGAGUGCAAAUUGAACUUUAUGUAAUUCAAAUUGGAGAGAGAUUCAUAUAAAAUUCUCUCAGUAUUAUCUUUCUUUCUCACUAUUCUCGCUAUGGGAAACCUUUAAAUGUAAAAACACAUGUAAAAUGUUUCUUACCAACAUAACCAUAAGUAUCUUUCCUACCCAGGUAGCGUAGACUCCGAAGCAGCCCUGCGUAGAUAAAAAUAAAAAAUUAAAAAAAAAAAAAAAAAGAAAAAGGAGGAGGAAUGAAAUUAAGACGAGGAUACGAUAAAUGGAAAGUAAGUGAUGGAAACUCUGCAGAUUAUAAAUUUAUAUUAGUAUAAAGAGGAGAGAAUGACUUGUCUGGAUUUUGUUUGUGGAUCCAAAUAAAAAAAAACGUUUUUCUAAAAACAAGAAUAUUUUAAUCAUUUAAUUGAAAAAAAAAAGUUAGUAAAUUUCGAUUGAUAUAUAGUUUUUUUUUUUUUUUAAAUUAGUCAUUGAAAACAUUUUCUAUAUAGAAUGGAUAAUUAUGGAAAAAGUUCAAAGAAUGGCGAGGAAAGGAGGAGCAGUUAUCCUUUUGGAUAAGGGCAUCUACUACUCGAAUUGUGAAGUUAUUGUAAUUAAUAGACAACGUAAUAUUUAGCUGAAGGCAAGUAUACUACUGUAAGGUUGUUUUAACAAACGAGUUGAAGGUUUUGGUUGCCGCAGGUUGUCGGGUCAGUGUUUAGGCGAAAAGGGUAGCUUAUGUUAUGGAUAUAGCCGCAAGAACUGGUGCACUGAUCAUUAUUGCUUUUGCUUUUUCUAGAACAGCAACCAUGGAGAUGGAGUAUUAUUAAAAUUGUAACUAGAAAAAGAAGGUUUGAGUAUCUGCUGAUCAUUCUGUGAACUGAUGAGACAGAGAGAAUUGAUCAUUAAAUUUGUGAUGCAGGAUUAC
rnacentral:lncRNA from 1 species